CACGUCUUUUUAAAAGGCAUCUAAUGCUUACACUUCCUUUAUUGCAAAUUCUGUUUAAUUCAGAAUUUAUCUUCUGCUCUGCUAAUAGCUUGCUAGACCGUGCAGGUGCCUCCUGUAUAUAAUUAAAGUUCAAUUUACGGAACUUUUCAAAGUAAGUUACAUAAUUUUGAAAAUGAAACCAUUUUGUUUUUCUGCAGUCUGUCAGUUACAGCCAAGGGAG